GACAGUUACAAUUGAAUUUUUGAAUCAGGCGCCCAAGGGCCGACUUUUUACAACUACGCGUGCGCGCCACGUGAAGGUGCCACGCCCCCUCGUCUGGGGGUUUGUAUUCCUGUCACCGUGGGUAGAUUGCGUGGUUCAAGGCAUGGUUUAGCAGAGAACACAAAUUCAGUUUCCAGCACCCUCCUGGAGGUCCACGGUCAUCCUGUGGGCCCAGCUCCAGGACAUCCGACUCCUUCCCCUGCUUCCAUGGGCACCUGCGUGCUUGUGGUGAGCAGACGUACACUCAGGCACGCACGAUGAUACUCAAAAACAUUAAAAGUAAAACCUUGGAA